rnacentral:rRNA from 1 species
AAUAGAUACCCAGGUAGUCCACGCCGUAAACGUUGGAUACUAGGUGUGGCGGUCUUACCAACGACUGCCGUGCCGAAGCUAACGCAUUAAGUAUCCCGCCUGGGGAGUACGGCCGCAAGGCUAAAACUCAAAGGAAUUGACGGGUCCCCGCACAAGCGGCGGAGCAUGCGGCUUAAUUCGAUGCAACCCGAAGAACCUUACCUGGGUUUGACAUCACGGGAAAAGCUGUAGAAAUACAGUGUCCAUUAGGGCCCGUGACAGGUGGUGCAUGGCUGUCGUCAGCUCGUGUCGUGAGAUGUUGGGUUAAGUCCCGCAACGAGCGCAACCCUUGUCCUAUGUUGCCAGCGGUUCGGCCGGGGACUCAUAGGAGACUGCCGGGGAUAACUCGGAGGAAGGUGAGGACGACGUCAAGUCAUCAUGCCCCUUAUAUCCAGGGCUGCACGCAUGCUACAAUGGCCGGUACAACGGGCAGCGAUCCCGCGAGGGUGAGCGAAUCCUAAAAAGCCGGUCCUAGUUCGGAUUGAAGUCUGCAACUCGACUU